GUGCUUGCUUUGGCAGCACACAUACUAAAAUCGGAAUGAUACAGAGAUUAGCAUGGCCCCUGUGCAAGGACGACACACAAAUUCAUAAAGUGUUCCAUAUUUAA